rnacentral:tRNA from 1 species
AGUCUUAUAAUUAAAUGUAUAAUAUUAAAUUGCAAAUUUAAAAUUGGUAAUUUCCUAAGGCUU